AAUUACAUAAAGUUAUUAUCAUGCACUAUUCAUCCCACCCCACCACCGCCUCCACCACCCAAAUUGUCAUCGCCACCGAAAUGGUCACACUCCUCUUUUCUCUACAAAUCUACAUCCACCUUACAACGCUCCCACCUAGAGUCUUGCAUGCAUUGCAAGGCAGUGAUUUCCCAAUUUGAUCUUGGCAAUUGAUGAAGACCCAUGGUUGGAAUAAAUGGUGUAAUAGGGUAGCGACGGUGGAUCCCAUUGAUGAUGCCAGAUUCAAGGUUUUUAGGAUCACGAUUUGCGAACUGGAAGCUUUUGCUUGCAGAUUUUUGGCCAUGGGUGUUGUGGGCCCAAUCGAAGUUUGAGAUUGUGCUUGGAAGAUGAUUUCGUCGAUGGUAGGUAGUGGUUCAAUGUGGAUUGAGGGUAGUGGAUCCAUAAGGUUCUUCCAGAUUUAGUGCCCCAUGAAAUCGAAGGUGGUGUUGUAAUUAGGAGGUAAUUUUGCCUAAUGUAGGUGGUGGUUUUGAUGAUUUAUAUGGUUAUUUGGGGGUGGAGUGAGGGUGGUGGCGAUUUAGGGCUUGGUUAAGAGAGGAAGAAUUUG
rnacentral:lncRNA from 1 species